AGAGUUUGAUCCUGGCUCAGAACGAACGCUGGCGGCAGGCUUAACACAUGCAAGUCGAACGCGUGUAGCAAUACACGAGUGGCGCACGGGUGAGUAACGCGUGGAUAUCUGCCUUUUGGUUCGGAAUAACCCCGGGAAACUGGGGCUAAUACCGGAUGGUUCCUUCGGGAUAAAGAUUUAUCGCCAAAAGAUGAGUCCGCGUCCGAUUAGCUAGUUGGCGGGGUAAUGGCCCACCAAGGCAACGAUCGGUAGCUGGUCUGAGAGGACGAUCAGCCACACUGGGACUGAGACACGGCCCAGACUCCUACGGGAGGCAGCAGUGGGGAAUAUUGGACAAUGGGGGCAACCCUGAUCCAGCCAUGCCGCGUGAGUGAUGAAGGCCUUCGGGUUGUAAAGCUCUUUUGGCGGGGACGAUGAUGACGGUACCCGCAGAAUAAGCCCCGGCUAACUUCGUGCCAGCAGCCGCGGUAAGACGAAGGGGGCUAGCGUUGUUCGGAAUUACUGGGCGUAAAGCGCGUGUAGGCGGUUGCCCGAGUCGGGUGUGAAAGCCUUGAGCUCAACUCAAGAAAUGCACUCGAUACUGGGUGACUAGAGGACCGGAGAGGAUAGUGGAAUUCCCAGUGUAGUGGUGAAAUACGUAGAGAUUGGGAAGAACACCAGUGGCGAAGGCGGCUAUCUGGACGGUUUCUGACGCUAAGACGCGAAAGCGUGGGGAGCAAACAGGAUUAGAUACCCUAGUAGUCC
rnacentral:rRNA from 1 species